rnacentral:rRNA from 1 species
UACGUAGGGUGCGAGCGUUGUCCGGAUUUAUUGGGCGUAAAGGGCUCGUAGGCGGCGUGUCGCGUCGGGAGUGAAAGCCCGUUGCUUAACGGCGGGUUGGCUUUCGGUACGGGCAUGCUGGAGUGCGGCAGGGGAGACUGGAAUUCCUGGUGUAGCGGUGGAAUGCGCAGAUAUCAGGAGGAACACCGAUGGCGAAGGCAGUGGGCUGGGCCGGCACUGACGCUGAGGAGCGAAAGCGUGGGGAGCGAACAGG